GGGGUCUGCCGACCCGCUUCACCUGCCGCAGAGGGGGCGGCCGGCGCCGCGUUCACCUGCCGGAGCGGGAGCGACCAAGGCAAGGAAGAAGCGGCGGCGCGCUCGGCGGCGUCUCCGGGUCCUAGAGCCGCAGGCUCCAGCUCGCUCGGAGCCGGGGGGCUGGCGGGGUCUAGCUGAAGAGGGUCAAGGCCCGAGGGACAGAGGGGACAUUUCUCGGAGUCGAGGACUGCCAGCACCUGCGAGGGCGGCUUGGAGACCCAUGAUGAUGCGGCGUUGGAGCGCAAGGGCUGCUUCCCCGUCUCGGAUUCCUGACAGAGAAGGGAGCUAGAGUGGCCUCUCGCCUUGGAGAACCACAAUCUCUGAUGUCUGGGAAUUGCAGAAAUACUUCCAGAUGCCUUCUUUCAUUCAUCCUGACAAUGACCAGGGAAGAUAAGGGGACUGGGGCUCAGAGAGAUUCUGUGACUUCUUCAAGGUCAAGAGAAUGGCAGAGCAGAGAAAAGAACCCAGGCCUGGGGCCCAGCUCUCCCUACCAUUUCCCCCGGAACAGGGACAGCCGGUUUUGAAAGUCUCCCUCUCAGCCAGCUGACUGGGAGGUCACUGUGAUGAAAGCCAAGAUCAGGGCAAGGCCUUCAGCAAACAGCUGAACCGCUUUCCUCAUUAUUUGAUAAGGAUCUCUGGUGGGCCAAAAGCCUGCCAGGCACCGGGGAAGAGAGAACUAGACCCAGGCCUGCCCUGGAAAAGCUCACAGCUGCAGUGGGGGUUGUGAGGGGAGGUUCCGUGGCCACAGGGGCCAUGGAAGAAGAAGCUAACCCCAGCCCCAGCCUUGACACUUGGGGGUCCGGGACAAGAAGUCAACAGGAACCCGCUUACAGUUCAUCUAAAUGUUUAAAAGUUAUAAAGCAGGCCAACCCAGAUAAAUAAAUUCUACCCUCUCACCCACGUAAACAUACCUUCAAGAGGACCCGGCAAGCCAGGUUCAAGUCAAUUCUCCAACUACAGCUCUGCACUGGAACAUGACUGUUCAGGGAGAGUGCGCCUUCUCUUCCCACCCCCAGAUCUGUCCUGCUCUGAGAGGAGCCACAAUCACACACACACACACACACACACCAGGCUGCACAGCCAAACCCCUUCCACACCCACACCCUCCAAGCACCCUUACCCACCUGUACACAGAGGGCUGUUCACUGAGAGCUGUACUCUCUGCCCUUAGGAGAUAAACCUCGGGGGGUGGCCUGUGCAGGCCCUGGAAGCAGGCUUGGGGCCCUCUGGGCAGGGAACCCCAAGAUUCCAGGUACCUAGGUAUAGUCAAGUCCUGGGC